UAAUACGGAGGAUCCGAGCGUUAUCCGGAUUUAUUGGGUUUAAAGGGAGCGUAGGUGGAUUGUUAAGUCAGUUGUGAAAGUUUGCGGCUCAACCGUAAAAUUGCAGUUGAAACUGGCAGUCUUGAGUACAGUAGAGGUGGGCGGAAUUCGUGGUGUAGCGGUGAAAUGCUUAGAUAUCACGAAGAACUCCGAUUGCGAAGGCAGCUCACUAGACUGCAACUGACACUGAUGCUCGAAAGUGUGGGUAUCAAACAGGAUUAGAUACCCUGGUAGUCCACACAGUAAACGAUGAAUACUCGCUGUUUGCGAUAUACAGUAAGCGGCCAAGCGAAAGCAUUAAGUAUUCCACCUGGGGAGUACGCCGGCAACGGUGAAACUCAAAGGAAUUGACGGGGGCCCGCACAAGCGGAGGAACAUGUGGUUUAAUUCGAUGAUACGCGAGGAACCUUACCCGGGCUUAAAUUGCAGAUGAAUUACGGUGAAAGCCGUAAGCCGCAAGGCAUCUGUGAAGGUGCUGCAUGGUUGUCGUCAGCUCGUGCCGUGAGGUGUCGGCUUAAGUGCCAUAACGAGCGCAACCCUUGUUGUCAGUUACUAACAGGUUCCGCUGAGGACUCUGACAAGACUGCCAUCGUAAGAUGUGAGGAAGGUGGGGAUGACGUCAAAUCAGCACGGCCCUUACGUCCGGGGCUACACACGUGUUACAAUGGGGGGUACAGAGGGCCGCUACCACGCGAGUGGAUGCCAAUCCCAAAAACCUCUCUCAGUUCGGACUGGAGUCUGCAACCCGACUCCACGAAGCUGGAUUCGCUAGUAAUCGCGCAUCAGCCACGGCGCGGUGAAUACGUUCCC
rnacentral:rRNA from 1 species